UACGAAGGGGGCUAGCGUUGUUCGGAAUUACUGGGCGUAAAGCGCGCGUAGGCGGUUUUCCAAGUCGUGCGUGAAAGCCCCGGGCUCAACCCGGGAAAUGCGCUCGAAACUUGAAGACUGGAGGCCGGAAGAGGGUAGUGGAAUUCCCAGUGUAGAGGUGAAAUUCGUAGAUAUUGGGAAGAACACCAGUGGCGAAGGCGGCUACCUGGUCCGGAUCUGACGCUGAGGCGCGAAAGCGUGGGGAGCAAACAGG
rnacentral:rRNA from 1 species